rnacentral:rRNA from 1 species
AGAACGAACGCUGGCGGCAGGCCUAACACAUGCAAGUCGAACGCUCUCGCAAGAGAGAGUGGCGCACGGGUGCGUAACGCGUGGGAAUCUACCCUUGACUACGGAACAACGUCGGGAAACUGACGCUAAUACCGUAUAAUGACUCCGGUCCAAAGAUUUAUCGGUCAGGGAUGAGCCCGCGUUAGAUUAGCUAGUUGGUGAGGUAAUGGCUCACCAAGGCUACGAUCUAUAGCUGGUCUGAGAGGAUGAUCAGCCACACUGGGACUGAGACACGGCCCAGACUCCUACGGGAGGCAGCAGUGAGGAAUAUUGGACAAUGGGGGCAACCCUGAUCCAGCCAUGCCGCGUGAGUGAUGAAGGCCUUCGGGUUGUAAAACUCUUUUGGCGGGACGAUGAUGACGGUACCCGCAGAAUAAGCCCGGCUAACUUCGUGCCAGCAGCCGC